GAUGAACGCUGGCGGCGUGCUUAACACAUGCAAGUCGAACGAUGAAGCCCAGCUUGCUGGGUGGAUUAGUGGCGAACGGGUGAGUAACACGUGAGUAACCUGCCCUUGACUCUGGGAUAAGCCCGGGAAACUGGGUCUAAUACCGGAUAGGAGCGCCUGUCGCAUGACGGGUGUUGGAAAGAUUUUUCGGUCAUGGAUGGACUCGCGGCCUAUCAGCUUGUUGGUGAGGUAAUGGCUCACCAAGGCGACGACGGGUAGCCGGCCUGAGAGGGUGACCGGCCACACUGGGACUGAGACACGGCCCAGACUCCUACGGGAGGCAGCAGUGGGGAAUAUUGCACAAUGGGCGGAAGCCUGAUGCAGCGACGCCGCGUGAGGGAUGACGGCCUUCGGGUUGUAAACCUCCUUUCAAUAAGGGAAGAA
rnacentral:rRNA from 1 species